GGUGGGGUUUAGGGUUUAGGGUUUAGGGUUUAGUGUUUAGGGUUUAGAGUUUAGGGUUUAGGGUUUAGGGUUUAGGGUUUAUAGUUUAGAAUUUAGGGUUUAUAGUUUAGGGUUUAGGGUUUAGGGUUUAGAGUUUACGGUUUAGGGUUUAGAGUUUAGGGUUUAGGGUUUAGGGUUUAGAGUUGAGAAAUGAGGUUUUGGGGAUAAGAUUUCAAAUUUUGAAAAAUAAAAAAAUUAAAAUUUUCAAAAGAUAAAAUGAUAUUUUAGUCAUUUUAGUUUUUGAGUGCUAUUUUUGUGAUAUAAACUUAGAAAUAUGCUAUUUUGGAGAUUUGCCCUAAACAUAAUGAUAAAGCUAUAUAUAUCAAACAUCCUAAACCCCCUGUUCUAAAACUCGGCCGCCUAGCCGUUAUGCGUCAUUUUUCCGCCCCGAUUUAUACCAAAUCGGUUUAAAAAAUUGGAUAUC
rnacentral:lncRNA from 1 species